UAAGUUUGAUAACAUCUAUUU
rnacentral:piRNA from 1 species